rnacentral:lncRNA from 1 species
GUGAAAUCGUGGGUGUCCUGGAUGUGGCUUGUCUCAGUGCACGGGCAAAUCUCAAUCUAUGAGAUCAAAAGUGGAAAAGGAAAGAGCCCUGGAUUCUACCUUAUGGAAAGAAUGAGGUCUGCCUAUGGACUGCAGGUGCUGAACUCUGGGGAGCUUGGCUGAUGUGGCUUCCAAGAUAGCUUGUCCUGAUUCUUGUGACAUGGGGACAUAACCUUCUAUGGCAAAGAUGGAGCUAAGUUUUGGAUGCUGAGAUGAGGAGAUCAUCCUGGCCUAAGUGCAUCACAAAUGCCCCAUCAAGGGAGGAAGGGGGGAUGGACACCAGAGCAGAAGGUGAUCUGAGACAGUGGUGGAAGACUUGAAGAUGCCGUGCUGCUGCUGGCUUUGAAGACAGAGGGAGGUGUCUUGAGCCAAGAAACACAGCUCCUUGAGCUGGAAAUAAUUCUCCCUGAGACCUCUGAAGGGAACAUGGCUUUGGUAUGUUGGUUUGAGCUUAAUGAAACUGGUUUUGAGUCUCCAAAUCUCUGGAAAAUAAAUCCAUGUUGUUUCAAACUGCCAAC